rnacentral:rRNA from 1 species
CGGGAGCUUGCACAGGUGCUGCAUGGCUGUCGUCAGCUCGUGUCGUGAGAUGUCGGUUAAGUCCGCUAACGAGCGCGACCCUCGCUGUGUGUUAUAUGUGUCACACGGGACUGCCGGUCUUAAGCCGGAGGAAGGUGGGGAUGAUGUCAAGUCAGCAUGGCCUUUAUAUCCUGGGCUACACACACGCUACAAUGGCCAACACAAUAGGUUGCUAAGCCGCGAGGUGGCGCCAAUCCAUAAAGUUGGUCUCAGUUCAGAUUGUAGGCUGCAACCCGCCUGCAUGAAGAUGGAGUUGCUAGUAACCGCAGGUCAGCUAUACUGCGGUGAAUACGUUCCCGGGGCUU